CCUCAGUACUCUGCCCACAAGGGACCCUGGCUUGUGUCAGCUCUGUGGCUCCUGAAAGCCUUCCUUUUCGCUUAAAAGUUGCUUAUGUCCUUUUUAAUCAAUGACACCAAGUGAAGCAGGUGGCGCUAGUGGUAAACAACCCACUGCCAGAGCAGGAGACAUAAGAGAUGUGGGUUCGAUCCCUGGGUUGGAAAGAUCCCCCUGGAGGAGGACACAGCAACCCACUCCAGUAUUGCCUGGAGAAUCCCAUGGACAGAGGAGCCUGGUGGGCUACAUAGUGCUGCAAAAAGUUAGACUCAACUGAGUUGAUUUAGCUCCUGAGGUUGUAUUUUAGAUUCCACCUAGAAGUGUUAUCUGGGAUUGGUGAUGGACAGGGAGGCCUGGCGUGCUGCGAUUCAUGGGGUUGAAAAGAGUCGGACACGACUGAUCGACUGAACUGAACUGAACUGAGAAGUGUUAUUAUAUGAAAUUUGUCUUUCUCUGUCUGACUUCUUCACUUAGUAUGAUCAUCUCUAGGUCCAUCCAUGUCGAUGCAGAUGGCAUUAUUUUGUUCUUUUUGAUGGCUGAGUAAUAUUCCAUUGUAUCUAUGUACUACAUCUUCUUUAUUU
ensembl:lncRNA